UGCCCGGAUGGCGGAAUUGGUAGACGCGCUGGUCUCAAACACCAGUGGCAGCGAUGCUUUGCCGGUUCGAUCCCGGCUCCGGGUACCC
rnacentral:tRNA from 1 species